ensembl:lncRNA
CUUAGCCAGAAAAGCUUGCACGCUCACAUCGCACAAAGCCAUUGAGAUCAUCAAAGUAUGAAACAAGCAGAGGAGAGCUCGAGUUCAACGACGCUCUAAGGGGAAAUGAAUGUCUGGCAUCAGCACUGGAGGCUACUCAUUUUGAAGAACUUCAUAGCACAUAGAGAUUUGACAGAAAAACAACGUGGAUGGAACGGCUGGUGAUUUUCCCAAGGAAAGAUGACCCUAAUCUUCCAGAAGGACAGAAAAACAAGACCAGCCAGAGUUUUAUCCAUUACUGCAUCAGAGAUGACUGGCUUGAAUUUGGUCAAAGGAUUAUGGGCUCAGUGCACCAGAAGCACUGAACUGGGGCAGCAGAGGAAGGAAAGGAAAAGCAGUGGCUGCUGUCUAAGGGUUCUUUUAUGCUCCCGGAUGAGUUUCUCAGCUGGAUCAUUGUAAAGCGCAGAAAUUAUGGGAUUGCUUACCUGUACUCUAGGAGAUUAACUCACGUGUCCUGCCACCAC